GCCACAGUGGUCUAGCGGUUAGAACGCUGGCCUUGUAAUCCUGGGGUCUCGGGUUCGAUUCCUGGCCGUGCCC
rnacentral:tRNA from 1 species